rnacentral:lncRNA from 1 species
AGAUUAGUUUAACAUGUGAAAUGUCCGUAAAGUAUCAUCAUAUGAUUGGCUUUAGGGCACAUUUCCAACAAACUCCCACUUGCACUAGAGCCAAUCAGCUUGAUCAUCUGUGAUGAUACCUCUUCUGUGGUCAUUUCAUAAAUGGCUGAAUAGUAGGCCUAGACAAUGGAUAUCUAUAUGUUAUCCAUAGAAGCAACCUUGAGAAUAACAACGUCACCAUUAUACAUGAUUCUCAAUCAUGUGGUUCAGUCUCUCAUAUGAGUUCGGAUCUUGAUGAGACCUUGA